UAAUACGGAGGGGGCCAGCGUUGUUCGGAAUUAUUGGGCGUAAAGGGCGCGUAGGCGGCUGGGUAAGUCAAAUGUGAAAUCCCGAGGCUCAACCACGGAAUUGCGUUUGAAACUGCCUGGCUUGAGUCCCGGAGAGGGUAGUGGAAUUCCCAGUGUAGCGGUGAAAUGCGUAGAUAUUGGGAGGAACACCAGUGGCGAAGGCGACUACCUGGACGGGUACUGACGCUGAUGCGCGAAAGCGUGGGGAGCAAACAGGAUUAGAUACCCUGGUAGUCCACGCUGUAAACGAUGGGCACUUGGUGUUGCGGGUAUCGACCCCUGCAGUGCCGAAGCUAACGCAUUAAGUGCCCCGCCUGGGGAGUACGGUCGCAAGGCUG
rnacentral:rRNA from 1 species